CAGUCGAGCGGACAGAAGGGAGCUUGCUCCCGGAUGUUAGCGGCGGACGGGUGAGUAACACUUGGGUAACCUGCCUGUAAGACUGGGAUAACUCCGGGAAACCGGAGCUAAUACCGGAUAGUUCCUUGAACCGCAUGGUUCAAGGAUGAAAGACGGUUUCGGCUGUCACUUACAGAUGGACCCGCGGCGCAUUAGCUAGUUGGUGGGGUAAUGGCUCACCAAGGCGACGAUGCGUAGCCGACCUGAGAGGGUGAUCGGCCACACUGGGACUGAGACACGGCCCAGACUCCUACGGGAGGCAGCAGUAGGGAAUCUUCCGCAAUGGACGAAAGUCUGACGGAGCAACGCCGCGUGAGUGAUGAAGGUUUUCGGAUCGUAAAGCUCUGUUGUUAGGGAAGAACAAGUGCGAGAGUAACUGCUCGCACCUUGACGGUACCUAACCAGAAAGCCACGGCUAACUACGUGCCAGCAGCCGCGGUAAUACGUAGGUGGCAAGCGUU
rnacentral:rRNA from 1 species